UAAAUUUUAAUUUUAUAAUAUUGAUUACUUCGACAUAAAUUGUAAAAAAAUAUAUAUAAAGAGAGAUUGAUGGAGUUUAAGUUAAUCCUUAUUUUAAUAAAUUUAGUUGCGAGAAUUGAUGAAGUAUAUAUAUCUAAAUCUGUAAAAGUAAACGACGUAUUCAAAUUUUAAAGUCAAAAGAUCAUUGGCUGACUCAAAUCUAAUGUAUAGAAAUAUUGGCUAAUAAAAAUAAAAUUUUCAAAGGUUAGAUAGCUGAUUCAAAAUGGUUCAUAGUUUACAAAAUUUAUAUGUUUUUACUUUGAUUUUAAUAUCAAACUUUAAUGCCAUAUUUAUAAUCUGAUAAGCGAUUACUUUUAUAUUUAAAAUUUUUUAAAAUAUCCAAAUUAUGAUUGGUCAACUUUUAAUUUUAACAAUUAGGAAUUCUAAACUUUAUUAGAUAGUUGAACAUAUUAUUUCCUCGAAUAAAUUACUAAUUAAACAAAAAUGAUUGAUGCUCAACUUUGUGUUCAUCUGGAAUAAAAUUAAAAUAUAAAAAGGAUAAAUUAUACUUUUGGUCCCAAACUAUAAGACGCGUGAUAUUUUAGUCUUUGAAUUUUAAUGCGUUACAUUUUCUUGCUAAAACUAUGAGGCACAUGAUGCUUUAGUUUCCAAACUUUAAUUAGUUGUAAUUUAUUACUCAAACUAUAAAACAUAUGACAUUUUAAUUCUCAACUUUUACUACUAUUAUAAAUAUAAUUUAUUAUUCUCUUCUUAUAUUUUUACUGCAACAGCUGCUAUUUUUCUUUACUUUCUUUUAUUUGUAUUAUUUUCUGUUCUCUGACUUUUUUUAUUAUUUAUUUUUACUUUUUUAUUUAUUAUCAUUUCUACGGAAUCGAUCCGUCGCAACGCGCGGAUAGCUUCACUAGUUAUAUAUGAUUGUACAGGUUGAUAUUUAAUUUCGCUUCGUUCUUGUGGGAAAAGUCUUGCUUGUUCAGCGGGUCUAGGUGCAUGCUCGAGGGGGCCCAACUGGCAGGUCUCGGAGUGUGACAACAUUAGUAGACAGCUAUAUUAUGAUAGCCCCAAGGGCACUAGGACAGUACUAUUGUGAUUUUUUUAUCAUCACGUGUGAUCACCAUAGCCUAGAUAGGCAUAUUGAGCUUGAUAGUGAUAUCAAUAAUCAAUAAUCAAUAACUCUAUAUGAUUUUCCAAUACAAUAGUUGAUGUGGCAAGUCCUCAUUUUUUUGAACUUUUCUAUUUUUUUUUUUUUUAUAAGUGGACCUCUCUCUCUUCCCUCCUUUCACCGUACAUUCCUUCAUCUCCCCCCUAUGAUUUUCCAAUACAAUAACUAAUGUGGCAAGUCCUAAUUUUUUUUGGACUUUUCCAAUUUUUUUUUUAUAAGUGGACCUCUCUCUCUUCCCUCCUUUUACCGUACAUCCCUUCAUCUCUCCCCUAUCUCACCAUAUGUUCCUUUCACCUCCCCUUUAUCCCACCGUUUGUCCCUUCAUCUUCAAACCACUCUUUCAAGGAAACCCCCAUUCCCCCAUCUCCCUCUGUCUCUCUCCCACCAACCCACAUCCGUUCUCUCCUCCCUUAUUUUUAAGGUUUCAAAUUAUUAUUAAUAAUAAUUUUUAAAUACUAAUUUUUAUAAUUUUAAUUUGAUUUAAUAUAGAGAAGAAAUAGGUGAUAAUGAAUUUAAGAGCUACAAAUCGAAUUCGCUUCAAGUGAGAUUUUAUAUUUUUAUGAAUUAAAAAAUAUUUUUUUUCCUUUCUUAAAAAAAAAUUUCUCUCUCCUAAUUUUAUUUUGUUUUAAUUGCUAAUUUUUCUUUUGAAAUUUGGUUUUGAUGUAGAAAAAAAGAAACCGGAAUCUAUUAUAAUUCAUCGAGUAAUAAAACCAACCCCAACGAAAUCACCUCUGGUUUUUUCAUUAAAUUAUGUUUUUUUUUAAUUCCUAUCUAUGCAACAAUUUUUAAUUUUUUUAUAGUUUCUUUUUUGUUUUUUUUUUUUGUUCUCCAUUGGAUUAUAUUUUCAUUCUAAAAAAAUUUUCAAUAUAUUUUUUAUAUUAUUAAACAAUCAAAUAUUGAUUAUUUUCUAUUGAUUAUUUUCUACUAUAUUUUUAUUUUUUAUUUGUAUAUUUAAUUUAUGAUUUAUUAUAAUUUUUAUCCGCCGCAUCGCGCGGGUUCUUACGCUAGUAUGCUAUGAUACUCGAUUGGGUCAUGCCCCUUGAGUGUCAAUUCGGAGGUUAAGUUGAACAAUUGGUAUGAGCCAAACAGUAGCCUGUCUAUAACGGACCACUAUAGGUGGGGGCUGGACACGAGGCGACACAGGUUUGACAGGACUAUUGAGUCGGUCGGUGAGAUUGGAUUGUAUAACAUUGUUUAUUUAGUUAUACAAUCCAUUAUUUGUCAAAUACUAACCUCAAAAAAAAAGAAUCAUAGUAUACAAACAUUCAGAUCUAUGUAAAUAAGAACAACUUGCAAACUUUAUCUAUUUACUUACUAGCUAGUAACAGAUUAAAAAUGAUAGGGAAGCCACUUGCUGCUCUCCCAAAUUGGUAUAUAGAAAAUUAAGCCAAUAUCUCAGCUUUUUCUUCUAAUUUUCAUUUUCAAAACUAGCACAAACAUUCAUCAACCUAAGUUAAAUUAAUUCAACAAAAAAAUAGAUUUUCAUGGCUGGUACUGAGAUCCCAAAACCCACAUUAGAGGAGAAAUUACAGAAAACCAAUUUGAUGCCCACAAAAAAAAUAAAUAAAGAUUGGAAAAAGAGAAAAAAAUGAAAUACUAUUUAAUAUCCAUUU
rnacentral:lncRNA from 1 species